AUAGUAAUUCAGUGGAACUAAUGUUCAUGGAGCUGGGGGAAGGGGUUCUGUGUGACCCCCCAACCCUAUUUAAGACCAGUCUGACAUUUUCAACACAGGUGUUGUGAAACUGGCAUAGGCUGUAGUUUUAGAGCUAUUACGAUUGUGUGGAAGAAAUUUCAUAUUCAGUUGGUGAGAUGCUCAUUGCUGAUUACUAGGAAACUCCUGACACAAAGCAGAAAUUCAGCUUCCUGCCCAUCUGCCACUAACCCAAGCCCUUGGACGUGCUAUCCCUCAGUACAAAGGACUGAAGCUACUUGAGAGUGGAGCUAGCUCUGCUGCUGCUGUAGACUCUCAGCAUGGGGAACCAACUGAGCAAGAAGAAGGGGUUCUGUGUGACGUGUGGGAAAGCGAUGGACCAGAAGGCUAAGGAGGGAGCUGCUGUGAUGAGGCAGCCACAUCCUAUUGCAUGGACCUUUCGCGAUGCUUCAACUUGGACUGGUGAGAGCCAUUCUCCCAUAGAGAACACCCAAGAGACUCUACACAACACUGGGGAGGUCCAGUCUGCUGCAGAGACUGGGCAAGACACUGGUAAGGGUGAUCCUCUUACACAGAUGAUGCUGGACAGAGAAUCUGCUGCACAGACAACAGAAGAGAACUUAGGAGCCCAGCCUUCUCUGUGGAGUGUGCAAGAGACUGAGGCCCAGAUGACGAGACAAACCCCACAGGCACUGCAAGACAUGGGCGAGGCCCAUCCUGAUGCUAAGAUGCCACAAGAGACUGAGGCCAAGCCUAGUUCCCAGAUAACAUGGGCCAAAGAGCUCGAGGCACAAACUAUACAUGAACAAGAAGCCCAACCUGCAGGAGAGUGCACAGAAGACACUGCUGAGGUUCAACCUGCUGUCCAUCCAGCAUAUGGGACUCAGGUGGAGGUGCAGGUCACACAAGAGAUUUGUAAAGCUCCACCUACUACUGUGCAGACAAUGCAAGAGAUUCUAGAGGGCCUUGCUGAAACCCAGCCUGCUCUGCAUCAUGUGCAAGAGGCUGAGACUCCGAUGACUGAACAGAACCAAGAGGCCCGACCUGCUGCAGAGCCCACUAGCGUGGCUGGGGCUCUUCCUGCUCUCCAGGCUUAUUGGGAGACUGAGGCCCCGGCUCUUGUAGAUUGUGCUGCCCACACUGAGGCCAUGCGAGAUUGCUGAUCCCCUACCUGCUGCAGAAGUGACUGAGGAGGCUGAGCCUGCUUUUCAGACUGUACAAGAGAUGACUGCUCAGAUCACAGGAGAGAUGCAGUCUGCACAAAGCAAAAUGGAAGCCCAGCCUGCAGCAGAGACUGAGAGACAGUGCAUUGCCCCUGCCACUCGAGGUGCUGCACCACAUAUUCCUAAAACCCAGCCUGCUCUGCAGAUGGUACGAGGAAUUGUGGCCCAUCACACUGGAGUGACAGACAUUGGGCUUUUGCUCAAUCAGUUUACUACACAGACCACAGAGGAGGCUGAUGCUUCUCUUCCUACACAGACUGUGCAAGAGACUCAACACUCCUCUGCUCAAGCUGAGCCUGCUCUGAAGAUCUGUCAGGAGUUUGAGACCCAGAUGACUGUACUGGUCACUCAAGGCACAGGGGAGGCCCAGUCCAUUACAGAGACCCCAGCAGAGAAUACUAGAGAAGCUGUGGGGAAAGUCUGAUGCAGCAGCAAUUGAUCAAGGGACGAAGAUGCAGCCCAUGACACAGAGCAGUGACUUUUCUACCCUGAUGCUGCAACAAGCCACCACCCAAAGGACUGGUGAGUGCCCUGCUGUUGCACAUGCCAUGGAAGAGACUGGGGAAGGUGACUCUGUUUUGCAGGCUGUGCAGAAAACUGAGGCUGCACAAGAAACUAAGAUGCAGCAUUUUACACAUACUGAACAUGAGAUCAAGACUCCGCCAACAGCUAGAGCCACAGAAGAGAUGGAAGCUCAACUAUCUCUACAGUUAUCUCUUGAGGCCCAUGAUGCUGCCCAGGAAUCUGAGGCUCCACCUGCAGUGUGGACCCUGUAAGAGACCCCCCCCAGGCCAUUACAGGGUGCACAUUGCAUCAGCUGACUGUCCAAGACACUGAUGUCCUCUCUGCAGUAUCCAGGGCCUUCCAAGAGGAUACAAUGGAGGUUGUGAUUCUCCCUAGUGAAGAGACCUAGCCUACUUCACAGGCUGCACAGGAGACAAAAACCCAAUGUGUUGCAGAAACGCUAGAAUUGAAGGCAAAGCAGGCUCAGCAGUGUCACCCAGAUUCCAGGCCCCCUAGUGCCCUAGGUGGCAAUGAGGCAGGAGAGCAAGACUUGGCAAUUUCUCAGGAUGCUCAGGCAGCUGAAAGGGAGGCUACCGCAGUAGCAAAGCCAGAGUCGCAGCAGCUAAUGGAGCAACUGGCAUCUGAACAACAAGAGGUGCUCACGCUGGCUCCUGCCGCCACCAGUAGUGAGGCCUCUGCCAGGCUGUGGAGUGUCAAUGAAAAUUCCCUGCCUCUAAAAGCCCCAGUGCAUGAAGCAGCUGAGAGAAGAAGACCAGGGGAGGCUGAAACUCCUGCAGCCCCUGAAACUUAAGGUAAAAUGGCCCAAGUUUUAGACUCCAGACUGAAGUGUGAAGUACCAUCUCCAUCCAGGGACAUGGCUGACUCUCUUCCUUUGGCUGUGGAGCACGCAGCUCCAGCAGAGGUACUCACUUUGUCUGAUGUUCUAGUAAGUGGCUCUAAUGCCAAUAUAGCAGAGCCAGAGUGAAAUGGACAGACUGGGCUCUGCCACUCAAAAAGCAGCACGUCCCUCAGUUGACCAGAUUCCUGAUCUUCCGUUGCAUUUGUGCUCAUGGCUGUUCCGUGAAGUAGGGUUGUAAUGCAGAGAGCGUAUCGGCUGAGUUGGGGAAAUGCCUUCUACGCUCAGUGUCCUGUUAACUAUGGGCUUGGCUGAAUGUGCAUCUUUCUGCAUCUGAAAUUGCUGCAAAUGUAUCUACAGUGUAAAACAUCCACAUUUAUAACAUCUUUCUAGGGGUUUUUAGACUUGCUGGGAACUAUUUUAAUGCUAUUGAUUACUUUUCUACACAACUCACUGACCAUUAAGCCCUUCACAUCACUGGCCUAACCUGCAAUUUUAUUUCCUUCAUCUUACUGAGUAACCAGCCUCAUCCAGAUGCAGGAAAGUUCUGUAACUUCUUAAAAUUGUACAAGUGUCCUCACUCAACUGGAGUACAAUAAUAGUGAAUGAUAUUUGUGUGGGUAUUGGUAGGAGUGGUAAUGUGUGUUGCUGCCUGAAUUGAUCAACUGAUCACUCUCAAUAAAUGAUGUUUUCCAUUCUUAAGCUGUUUGGCUAUAUCUGAUAAUUAAGGGGAGAUGGACAAGGGGUGGGGGUGGAAUACAACUUCACAAUGGCCUUUUCUGUUGGUUAAGUGGCAAAUGCUACUAAGCAUGUAUGUAAAUGCUGAUUCUGAUCCAGGUGAAAUCCUAGGCAACUGCUACAGCUCUUUCCUUAGCAUUGAUGAUGCUCUCUGAAAGGCUUAAUCUUCUUCCUUAACCAUCCACUUGCAUCAAACUCGGGUCUAAAACAAAAUUAAAACGUACAUCUUCCCACAAACACUAGCAUUAAAUGCCCUUAACUAUGUACCAGCUACGUAGGGGGGCAGAGGGGAGGGAAGCCUAGAACAGUCAAUAGUAACUGCCCAAGGUACCAGUGCACCUGCAUACCAAUAAAGAAGAGAUGUCUUUCUGCCAAAGAAACCAGCCAUCAGCUGAAAUUAUUCCAAAGACUCUGAAUGGGUUGGCUGCUUGACCAGUUACUCAACAGUUGAUAGCAUCUGUCCCUACCUCAACUGGGAAGCAGGAGUCACCUUGCAGUCUGAACGCAAAUAUGAGGUUGUAUACUGGUUUUUGGUGGGGUGGGGUGGUUUGUUUUGUUUUGUAUCCUGGCUCCAUCAGGAACCACAAAGAAAUUUGUCCCAGUUGGCCCCCUCUGCUGUAAAAAGAAUUCAUCUAGUUCUCAUUUAGGCUUUGGAAGGAUUAGAUUUGGAUCAGUAAAUGUUGAUUUCACUGUAGGCACCCAUGCAGGUGCACACACAGAUUGAAAAAAGGUUUCUAUCAAUAGUUGACAUAGAUAAGCAGCAUUUCUCUUACUUUGCCUAAGAAAUUAGUUUUAUUAAGGAUAUCUUCUUUAUAUUGUGACAUUGACAUUUUAUGUUUUAAUGGUUAUAAAGCAUGAACUCUUUCAA